CCUACGGGAGGCAGCAGUGGGGAAUAUUGCACAAUGGGGGAAACCCUGAUGCAGCAACGCCGCGUGGGUGAAGGAGCGUUUCGGCGCGUAAAGCUCUGUCAGCGGGGAAGAAGAAAGACGGUACCCGACCAAGAAGCCCCGGCUAACUACGUGCCAGCAGCCGCGGUAAUACGUAGGGGGCGAGCGUUAACCGGAAUUACUAGGUGUAAAGGGAGCGUAGACGGCGAGGUAAUCCUGAAGUGUAAGCAAGCGGCCCAACCGCGGCACUGCGUUGGGAACUGUUUUGCUGGAGUAUGGGACAGGCGGAAUUCCUGGUGUAGCGGUGAAAUGCGUAGAUAUCAGGAGGAACACCGGCGGCGAAGGCGGCCUGCUGGACUGCGACUGACGUUGAGGCUCGAAAGCGUGGGGAGCGAACAGGAUUAGAUACCCUGGUAGUC
rnacentral:rRNA from 1 species